rnacentral:lncRNA from 1 species
AUCAAACCAUUUCCUUAAUUGUCUUUUACCCGUUUGAAAUCAGAAUCCCUUAAUUAAAGGGGGACCUUAUGUAAUCAAUUACAAAACUAUGUUCUUACCUUUUCUUACUUGCUUUCUGCACUAUAAAAGGGCACGACCCUUCUUCACUUUGACACACUUCCUAUUCAAUACUUUCACACACGGACACCUAAAGUUCAAUACUCUAGCACACAUUAGUCACUUCACACUUUCAAUUUCAAUACUUUGUUCUCAUCUGAGAUCUUUUGAUUGUUUGCUUGCAGUUUGGCUUUACAAGACUAUUGCUUUUACAUUCUUGUUUCCCUGAAACUGGUAUGUUCUAAUUUAGUUUUUAGCCUCAUCCUAAUGUAUUUAUUUUACAGCUUCUACAAUUCUGUCUAUUUGUUGUAUAUGCUUAGUGUUAAAUAUGUUUGUUGUUCUCUUUACAUCUAUUAUCUUCUAUGAAUCCUUAUGCCCUUAUUCCCUUCUAUGUAUUUGAGUUAAAGCUCAGAACAUGGAAACAUCUAAGUUGUUGCUCAUUUCUGGACUUGAUCCUUAAAGGAUCCUAACUCCCAAACAAUGUGCCUAACAGGAUGGUUGGGGUGUGCCAACACUUUCAAUUGCUGGGUAUGACCACCAGCCUGUCUUGAUUUUCCCUUAAAUUCCCUCUGUUCACUUACACUCAUUCUUAGAUUCUAAGUUCUUCCCCCUCUUAUGAGCCUUGCCUUGGGACCUCGAGCUCCCUCGGAACUUGGACAUUUGAGGGCUGGCCAUUCCACACUGUACUAUACUCAAUUCUGCAUUGUAAUUGGGUGUAUGCACUGCCCGAAGUCCACCUGAGACUCUUAGGGAACUUUGACAUAUCCCAAAUAAGAGAAAGGAUAUGAGAAUCUGAUCUUUGGAAGUUGGUUUAUUUCAUAUUUCAAACCUGGAGUCUCAAUUAGGCUCUCCUUGGUUGUACUUUUAUUUCUGAUGUAACUUUUCUUUCUUAUUCAUUCUGGUUUGUAAUAAUUUGUAAUAAACUUAUGGGGUUUUAUUGAAAAGGGGGAUGGUCACUCAUGUAUGCAUACAGGUAGACAUCAUGUUCUUAGGUAUUUAUUCCUGCAAUCACAUCCUGCUUUUCACUUCUGCAGAUCAUAUAGAGAUCAUGCCUAUAGUUUCUGCACUUCUACAUUUCACAUAGAGAUACUGCGUAUAGUUUCUACACUUUUGCAUUUCAUAUAGAAAUCCUGCUUAUAGUUCAUGCACGUCUGCAUUUCUAUAGAGAUCAUGUCUAUUGGUUUUCUGCACUUCUGCAUACCAUAUAGAGAUAAUGACUAUAGGUCAUCAGCAUAUCAUAUAGAUAACUUGUUUAUAGGAUUCUGCAUUUACAUCUAUCACUGGGCAAACAGUUUAUAUGCUUAAAUAACAAAUUGCAUUCUAUAUACCAUGCCUAUAGGACUCCUGCAUUUUAAUAAAUAUUAUAUAACCAACAGCGCUUAGAAAGCAUGUCAAUAGGAUUAAUCAACUGAAUCUGAAUCGUCUAUCUCGCUUACAACUCUAAAUUCAGUAGAAAUGUUGUUUUUCUAUAAUCAGAAAGCGUUCUUAAAAAUGAGUGUAUUCCUGCAUUGUUGGAUAUUAUGCCUACAGGUUUCACCUAGGCAAGUCAUUAGGUAAUUGAUUAAUUGCACCAGUCUUUGACAAUUACAACUAACGGGCAGGCCUAAUUUGGAUUUCUUAUAUGAAAAUAUGUGAUAAAUCAGCAUGCCUCAACGUUUUAAGUUUAAUUCAAACCAUAACCAGUACAUGUAAGACAUGCUAAACAAUCUGGUUUUAAGUGAUGAGGCCUAUUUGAGCCUUUUUAACUAUUAUGUGUUUCCCAUAGCUGCUUUAUGUGUUUUUUGUUUGUUGCCUUAGAAUUUUAUCCCUUUAAACUCUGGAAAGCCCAAAUCUCCCUCCCCUUUAGGACUAGUAGUCCCAAAUACCUCCACGACUGAUAGGAUUGGGACGGGUAAUAACAUGCAAUAAGUAACAUAGCCAUUCCGCGCUUUAGUACCUUAACAGGGUGGGAAAGGGUAGUAUGGAUAUGAUGACCGGUGCGCUAAUACCUCGUGUAUCCCCUCUUUUUAGGAGUGAUUACCGAGUAUUUCAUUGAUGUGAUCCAUAUUAUUUGUAACCUAGGACCCUCUUUCCCUUUACUUGUUUUGUUUUCAGAAUUUUCAAACUAUUUCCUCAAAAUUUCUGCUUUCCUUAUUUCUUCAAACUCUCAAUUUACUUGCAACUAUUAUGUGACCCCCCCCCCCUAUUUGAGGCCUUCUAUUUGCUUAUUUGUUAUUUAAAGUCACGAUUGUAGCCUGACUGGGAACCACACUAGUGGAUCCUAAGGGGUGCCUAACACAUUCCCUUUGGGAUAAUUUCUAGCCAUUAUCCAAACUCUGGUUUUCUAAACAAAUCCUUCUUAGUGUCCUAAUGCACUUUAUCAUUAGGCGGUGACUCUUGAAAACCCAAUUCCCAAAAGGGAACGAGUUGUCCUUCCAAAUGUCAUAAACCUUAUUUCGCGAGAAAAAUGGGGUGCGAUAGCAUGACGACUCUGCUCGAGAUAUUCUUUUAGGCUUUUACCAUUUUAUGUUAUUUGUGACUUUACUGCUUCUUUAUUGCAUUUAUUUAAAGUCUUUAUCUCUUCUUCUACUACGGAAAUGACUUGGCUCUUCAUUUCUUUUAUUUCUUUUAACGCUUUCCUUUACUGCUUUCCUUCAAUACUGUUGUAAAUUAUGAGAAACUGUUGUAGUUAUUACUUUGUAAACAUGCAAAUACGUGACAAUUUGCUUAAUUAUUAUAAUUGCAUCUUCAACAUCAUAUUCUACUCGUGCCAAACAAAAUACCAUAGCAACGCUUAUAAUGAGUGAUUGUGCCCAUCCGAUAUUAUCACCCCUAAAUCCGGCAAAGGCAUAUUUUCGGUAAAACUAGUCGAUCAACGAUGUAGUCGAUGGUUCCACGUCUUUCCCUCUUGAGUUGUCUGCUCAAGGGUACCAGUCUAUUAACCCAUGGAAACCCUACUCUGUUCAACUGUGCAUGCAUCAUGGUCAAACCUAGUCGAGUCAGUUAUGUUGUCCACAUAAUGACUCUUUAAGAUAGCCUUGUCCAAAGUUCACUGGGUUUCCUCGAAACCUAAAGGGACAUUACCAUAUUCUGUGUAUUUAUUUGGAGAACUAAAUGCUUUUAUGCCAAUUGUUGAUAUUUAAUAGUCGAGUCUAGUGGGGUUAUGGUCUUAACCUUUUUGUUUUGCAGAAAAUGGAGAACGAGGUCCCCGACUUUGGUAUGGUUAGCCCACCCUCACUCUUGCUAGCCUGGCAGAGGAGUCUCUCAUCAAAUGACCAAAUCAAUGAAUGGAAAGAGAGGGCCACCAAGGCUAGCAAAAAGCUGGAAUAUUGGAAUACAGUCUGUUGGAAUUGGAAGGAAAAGUAAGGAAUAGAGUCACUGGCUGCCAGAACGCUGAGGGAAACGAAGGAGAAUGCCCGGCAAAAGCAUUUCUACUGAAGAAUUUACGCAAACUGGAGUUUUUGAUCAACGAGAAUAUUCAACCUGGGGAAGGUUCUUCUGGGACCAAAUAGAUAGGAG